UUUCCCUACGGGGCGCAGCAGUGGGGGAUAUUGCACAAUGGGGGAAACCCUGAUGCAGCGACGCCGCGUGGGCGAAGAAGUAUUUCGGUAUGUAAAGCCCUCUCAGCAGGGAAGAAGAAAUGACGGUACCUGAGUAAGAAGCACCGGCUAAUACGUGCCAGCAGCCGCGGUAAUACGUAUGGUGCAAGCGUUAUCCGGAUUUACUGGGUGUAAAGGGGGCGCAGACGGCGAUGCAAGCCAGGAGUGAAAGCCCG
rnacentral:rRNA from 1 species